rnacentral:lncRNA from 1 species
GGUAGCACUCUUAACCUGCGGUUCAAAUUCCUUUGUGAUGUUUGAGGCUGGUCCAGACCCACCAAUGGGACGGGGAGAAGAGCAAGCGGUGGGCGGGGGCGCUGGCAGGGGAGGAGAGGGAGCCUUGGGGAGAAACCUGGGGGAGGCAGGGCUGAGGGCAUAGGGCGUUGAGUGAUUUUUGAGGAAAGGCUCUAGAGAAGCGCCGCGUUAAAGUAGGGAGGAGGGCCCCCCGAAACUGGCUGCCCCGGGGCAGGGCCGGUUGACCCGCGCCUGGGAGGAGCCCCGCGUCCCGUCGCGCCGACCCUGGGCUGGCUGCGUGUGCGUCGGGAGUCGAGCCGCCGUACGCACCAGGAAGUGACUCCCAGCGGCAGAGAUCCACGCUGUCCGCUGGCUUUUUCGUUUGCCGCCUCAGGACUAUGCUGUCCUCCAGACUCAGCUAAGAAGCUCUUUGGUGAGUCUUUUGUUCUGAGAAAAGCUGUGCCUGUUGAUCUGUUCUCCCACACCAUGCACUGCAAGCUGGUGCUCCUCCUCACUUGCGAAUCAGCCUCCUAUGAUACUGCAGGCUCUUUAUUAAGGC